rnacentral:lncRNA from 1 species
GACUCAAGUUAUCCACCCGCCUCAGCCUCACAAAGUGGUGGGAUUACAGGCAAGAGUCACCAUGCCUGGCCUCUAUCUGCUAUUUCUAAUACAGUAUUUUCAAUCUUGGGAGUCUAAUCUUACUGCUUGUUAGGCAUUUUAAAUCCUGUUUAUGAUGGAUUAUUUUUCCUUGCAUAAUUCAUAAUUUUGGAUGGUGCAGUUUACAGGGGUAAAUCCUGUGCCUUAGGUUAAGGUAUUUUUAUCUAGAGAGUUUUUGCAUUUGUUUAUUUCAGGCAUUCUAGUAGUACCAGUGGAAUGAUAUAAUUUCUUAUAUUAAUUUCUCAGCUUUGCAGUUUUUGGACUCAUGGAAGUAAGCAUAAGUUUGAAACUAAAACCAAUAUGAAUACAGACCCAUAAUUGGAAUUCUUAGUGAGUCUUAUUUUUCUCCUAAGUUAAGACUGAGGCUGACCUAUUUAAUUGUCAUCUCCCUCUACAGGUGCUAUCUCCAACUUAGGAUAUGUUCUGAUGAUAUAAUUCUACUGACACAAAUAGCAUACUAAAUUGUGAAUAUUUUACUAAAGACCUUCACUGAGCAUUCCUAAUGAGUGCGGAUGCAUGAUGCAAAGAGCUGGCACUUCUCAUCAGUGGAGCACAGGAAAGAAGAUCUAUGAUGCUCAAUUAAAGCUCCAAUCAAGAUUAUGAUGUGAGAAAAAUGUCAGGGGAUUGUCAGUCCAACACGUGAUUGAAGGAGAUAGCUAGGGAAAUAUUUCUCGAUGCCACCGAAGACAGGAAGUGAUGGCAUUUCUCCACCUCAAGGAAAAUGGAUGUUCUAAAAGCACAAAGAACAUGACUCAUGUAGCACUUUGUGUCACUUUAACGAAGAUGCUUCCUUAGUAAUCAGAUGAACAGCCAACAUAGGUGCAAAUGGAUGUGCAAAUAUUCAUCUGAAUCAGGCAGAAGGUUAAACGGCCCUCAGAUGUCUAAUCUAGAUGCUUCACUCUGUCAGUGGUAAGGUUUUGUGACAGUAAAGAUGAACUUCAUGCCUGUUUUUAAAUUUUAUAAGUGGGGAUUUGUUGCUUAACGAAUUGUGGGACUGGGUCAUGAAGAAACAACACCUGACAUUAAUUUAUAAAGGAAGUGCAGCACUCAGGUCAAUUAUAGAAACACGAAUAAUUGAUGCCUGGUUUGGGGAUUGAAGGGGAAGGAAGCAAAACCAAAUAGAUCAUUUGUUAAGGGAGCUGCAAUAAUUGUUCUAAAUAAAUUGAAGUUCUGAUUUAGGUCACGCCAAAAAGUCCAAUGAGAGGAAUAGCCUGUCAAUAAUUUAGAUUGGUUACACAUUCUAUGAAAAAUGCUUCCCCCCAAAAAGGGCAUGGAGAAAGAUACUCAAGGAUAUAUGUUUAUUUUGUUAAUUGUGUUUGAAUAUCUGAGAAGAAAAAGAAUAAAGCACUUAGCUUGCAACAAAAAUAGAGGAAACUCAUAGGAGAGAAAAUACAGGAAAUCCUGGCAACUUCCUUGAGCCUAUUAUGUGGGGAGGAACCAGAACAAUCAGUGGGAUAGGCAGAGACAUUGGGGAGGAAAUUCUCUGUGGAGGUUUCAGUCACUUUUCACAUUAGAACACAAUGGAUGAGUCCAAAGUGCUGCAGAAUUAUAUAUCUGGUAUAAAACAUUACUAUUUUUUUUGUUGUUGUUAUAGGAAUAGUAGUAGUAGUAAUUUGCCUCCCCACUGGUUCAUAAAGAUCUAGCUAUAUGCAUGUUCUUUAAAUGUUUGGAAUAAUCCAGAGAUGCUCUCAAUGAAGUUCACACAUCUCUAUUGAAAAACUAAUAUAAGUUGCUUUAUAAAUAUCCUAUAUACAGAUUAAGCUGAAAUAUUGCUAUUACCAAAAUAAUUCACAAUGAUAACUUGGAAAUUAUAUUUUAAUACUGUCAUACUGCCAAAUGUUUCAGAAUGAGUCUUAUUUAAUCUGAAUUCAAUGAAUAUUUAUUGAACACAUAUUUUGUACCAGGUAUUGUGAUAUAUGCUAGCAAUUAAACAAAAAGCAAACAAGCAAAAAACCCAACCCUUUUCCCCAUAUUAGUAAGCACAAUCUUUGUCCUCAUGGAACUUAAAGUAUCAUUAUUUUGAUGUAGUAUUUUACUCUAGUGAAUAGGAUUUGUUAUACAAAGUACUGAAUUUUAAUAGUUAACGAUAAUCUAUAUUUGGAAAGUUUAUUUUACCUUGUGGAAUGGAGGUUGACAAACUGUGGCCCAAGAUCAUAUCAA